UUUCAGGCUGUCUUGUAUGAACAGGACACUUAAAGAGCUAGAGAAGCCAUUUGAGGUCCCAUGAAAAACAGAACUGUCUGCUUAUACAGUGCCGUUUUAGAAGAAUAGCCUCUGACCAAGAACAAAAAUUGUUGUCGGAAUAAUAUGCGAACAGAUCAUGAAGAACUCUGUGGCACCAGUUAUGGAUCUUUUUGUCUAAAUGGAGGGAUUUGUUAUAUGAUUCCUACUGUAUCCAGUCCAUUCUGCAGGUGUAUUGAGAAUUACACAGGAGCCCGCUGUGAGGAAGUUUUGCUGCCCAGCAUCAAGUCCCAAGCUAAAGGUGACCUGUUCGCAGCUUUCUUGGCUUCACUGCUUCUUCUAGGAGUUCUUGUAAUUGGAGCAUUCUACUUCCUUUGCAGGAAAGGUUCCAUUCCAAGGACAAGUUCCUCAGAGUGUGGUGCCAACCUGGUUGAAACUACCAGCAGCAAUGGCUGCAUCAAAAUAAUAACAGAAUAAAGCUUUAGAGUGGAAGAAUGCUGGGAAAACAACACGUGCAGCAACCCUAAGAAAGCAACAGUUGUAGAGGAUGAUGUCGCAAGCAAGAUGAGAGAAGACAGUAGACUGAAAUAGGAAGCUUACUUACAUGUUGGAGAAGACAAACUAGAGAAACAGUUGCACUUACCAGAGUUUCUAUCUAUUAUUGAAGGAUUCCCUUACUCAGGCAAAGAGCAGCCAAAUGACAUGGUCCAUCUCUCUUUCUGCCUUGACAACACAAAAAGACUAUCUGGCUAGCCAGAAGCAUAGAAAACGUGAACUGAACGACUCUCUUUUCAACUCAUUUCUAGCACUGGAGGCUGAAACCAGCACAAAUCAGAAAUGCUUCCAUAAUGGCACAUUACCUAGCAGCUCAUUACAUGGGAUUUUUAAGGUUGUAUUGAAAAGGAAAUUAAUUGAGAAAACUUCAGGAAUUGAAAGAGGAGAAAACGCAGAAUGCAGAUUUCUUAUGUCUGAAAUAAAGAGUCUGGAGGUGUAUAAAAGUAUAGGUGCACAGAAAAUGUUGAAUAAGCUUCUAUUCUUAGGGUGUCUACUACAUGCUUUAGUGGGUAUUUUAUAUCAAUAUAGACAAAAUCACAGCAAGGCAGAGAAGAAAAGGCAUGCUGUUACAGCGUAUAAGGUAAGAAGCUCGAGUGAAAACCGUAUUAUAAUAGCUACUAGAAAACAAAACAGGAAAAUACAUUACCUUCUGAGGACUCAUGGCAGAGAAGUUGGAGUCCAAGUUAUAAUUCACCAUCCAAAGGGAGAAACUGAAGGCGCUAAAUCAAGUAGAGGACCUGAUCCAGAGAUUAAGUUACAUAAAGCACUAAAAGGUCACUUUCUCUCCAAAUUAACCAAUCCUAUAUGCUAUUUCCUGGACUUCAAACGUUUAGCAGAUACUCUGAAGAAAGCUGAUAAUAGUCUUUUAAAGGCUAGGAAAGAUGAAAGUGGUUUUUCAUCACAUAGGGACAUGCCACUGUUAAACAGGGAGUUUAGGAGACUUGUAGUAGUGCUGACAACUACAUUACAAUCAGUAUUACCUAAAGUAUUUUGCACAGCCUCAGUGAAAAGUAGUCAGAGACGACUGCUGUUAGACAACUUCCGUACAUUAUUGAUCAUGAGAUGUUCAGACUUAAUAACGUUAAAGUUUGGUAUACUAUGUUCAUUCAAGAAGGAAAAGGCUUGUGGCCGUCUUAAGUGGAAAUUCAGGAAAGAAAUACUAAUAGAAGACGUAAGAAAUAAAUGGCCUGAAGUUGUACUCUAUAAACUCUUAGACCCACCUCAGCUUUCUAGACAGACAUGGAGUAGUUAUUCACUGUUACCAAGCUUGUUUGCAUUAGAUGGGAAACAAUUAAUACAAAAAGUGAGAAUGAAUAAACCAAACCCAUGCUUAAAUGCAAACAAGCUGAUUUAUGAAACGCUGUUAUCUUUGAAGGAGAUCCUAUUAGCAAUUCAGACUGCUUCAAACCCAUUGCUUUGGAGAACAUUUCAGCUUCUAAAAUUAAUUAUUUCAUUACACAAGCUUUGUGAAUAUGAUGUUCAGGUCAAAAUGAGAUUGGGCUACAAAUUCAUUUUAAGGUGGUCAAAUGCCACAGAAAGCACAGGGUAGCCAACAUUACAUAUAAUUUAAUAAAAGAGUACAACGCUCUCUAGUGACUCUCGCUUAGAAAAUUAAGGAAAUAGUCCUGUGAGCAAUAAAGCUAAGGAAACAUGGGUGCCAAUGGAUCAAAUCUUGUGGCUAGAGUCACUGGAGCCUAUAUUAGUGUUAUAUGUAUAUGCAGGGAUGAGUAAUAAGGUUUCUCUUCUCUGCUUGACUCCUGUUUUCAUGAAACAUAAAAUCUCUUGUCUAUAAAAUUACCUUUAUAGGUUAUUGGAGGGAAGGAAAGACUGAUUUCCUAGAACCUCCACUAACAUAAUUACACAACAAUUUAUUAGUUAUGGCAAAAAUUCUUUUAUACCUGAGGAUCAUGUUUUCCUUCCAGAAUCUUGUAGCAAAGAUCUCUUCAUGUGUUGCAAAAAUCUUUUGAUGACCUGCAGAAUGGAAUGCCAGCCACUAGCAGGAAAUCUCUUUAUAGACUUAAGUAAGAGGUUGCUUAUACGUUACUCAGUAUAUAAUUGUAUUUCAUUAGUAGCCCAACCAAACACUGAGGCAGAGUGCAGUGAAAGGAGAAGAAAUGGCUGUUCAAAGAAAACAAGAGGAUUUCUCUGUGCUGUGUAGUCUUUUGGUUUAUAUUAAGUUUUAAGCAGGAAGGGGAAGUCCAUUUGGUAGUAGUUUCUGUUUUAAAGGUACCUUCAAUGUUGUGCAACCAGUUCACAAUUUACUGCACUAAAAAUAAACACCAGAAGAAAUGGGGGAGAGAAUUUAUCCCAAUAGAUAUGGUGUCUGUGGCAUUGCUUUUUGUUGUGAGUGUUCUGAUAGGAGCAGAGUCCAGGCAGAAAGGGAAAGCAGUGAGCUUACCUGAAAGGCUAAGGCUGUUAUGUGUUCAGCAUAUUCUGUAUCAGGAGAUAUGCACCUAGAAGGAACUGCCCAGGAAGAUGGAGAACUUCAGCCAAAGCUAAAGUUGUGGUUACGAAUUUAACAUGGGACAUCCAACUCUUCUACAUUAAAAAACAAAACAAAAGAACCCCUUCAGUUAAGUUCCCUUGGUAUUUAACAUCCUUUCAGAUUUAAAGGACAUCAAGCUAUGUCGAGUGAAAUCUGAAAAGACUGUGUAUUAGUCUGGAUAAGAGUUUUCACUUGUGCCAUGAUCAUAUUUAAACACAGGUAUAUUAAUGAAGACAUAUCUGUAUAAAGUUGGGAAAAAAACUAGAACUAAAUUGUGUUACAAUUCUCCUGCAAUGUUAUUUAGAUUACCAGGAUGCAUAUGUUCACUCUAUCUGUCCCAGUCAUAAUGCCUUCUCUUGACAUCUAUAUACUUGAAGAGGUGGAAUAUUCCUGUAUCACAGAUUAUACGGAAUAAUCCAAAGAAUCCAGACAUAAAUUAUUUAUUUGGGGGAAAAGGAGCAAACAAAAAUCCCCAAGUAUGAUGCAUGUUUUAAAAAACCCCAACCCUUCUCAUUAUUAUAUGUAACAUUAUCUGCUUGUGCUUAUCCAAAGUCUGCUCUUGCUUUUCUCGUGAUUGUAACCUGUUCAACAUAACCUGUAAUGUGAGAGACUAAUUUCAGGAUAGCAAAGUACCAAAUAAAAUCAUGAAACACCAAUAGGCUGGUUGCCACACACACAGUUCCAUGGUUGGAACAGAUGCUCCACGAAACCUUUCACCAGGAAUUAUUUCUGUAGCUAGCUAAGGGCACGUAAACAGAACUUGCAGCUGCAGAACCUGAAAUAACAAGAAGCUACUGCUGUUCUCAUCCCCUGAGUUAAAACUACAACCAGCUUCUAAAUGCACCUCUUAGUUUGUGUAAUGUGAACAUUCUUUUCAAUGUACAUUAAAAGAGACUGUUUUCAAA
ensembl:lncRNA